AAGUUGGCCAGCCCCACCCCCCAAGGCUAUAGCCCACCCGUUUUUGUGGCCUUUUUCAGCUGGACGAACUUGGCGCCCCGGCCUUCGGGUGGUUAUUUUUGCGCACGCCUGUGUCCGCGGCCUAUUUUUGGUACACGGAGGCCGCUCGUAAAGUCUCGCGCCAUUCCGAGUCCGGCGGACGAAGUUGGCCAGCCCCACCCCCCAAGCCUAGAGCCCACCCGUUUUUGUGGCCUUUUUCCGCUGGACGAACUUGGCGCCCUGGCCUUCGGGCGGUUAUUUUUAAGCGCGGCUGUGCCCGCGGCCUAUUUUUGGCACACGAAGGCCGUUCGCAAAGUCUCGCACCAUUCCGAGUCCGGCGGACGAAGUGCGCAAGCCCCACCCCCCAAGGCUAUAGCCCACCCGUUUUUGUGGCCUUUUUCCGCUGGACGAACUUGCACCCCAGCCUUCGGGAGGUUAUUUUUGGGUACGGCUGUGCCCGCGGCCUAUUUUUGGCACACGGAGUCCCCUCGCAAAGUCUCGCGCCAUUCCGAGUCCGGCGGACGAAGUUGGCCAG
rnacentral:lncRNA from 1 species